GUUGCAUUUUUUUAUGAAAUGAAGCACAAAUUGAGAGUUUCUGAUGGAUUUUCUUAACUCAAAGUGAGUAGCUGGGAUUUAGUUUAACCCCGAAUUCUUUUCUUAUCCGGAAACUCUCAAUAUGUGUUUUAUUUUUCACUCCAAAAAUUCAAAUGCGUUGUUGCAAUUCUAAUGAACUGAAAUGAGAUGUAAUUGCUUCUAAUGCAGAGAAUGCAAAAAUACCUUUCCUGAUAUACAGUUCCUUUGCAACUGAUGUUUCAAAUUUAAUAGUGCAAUUUAUACAAAAACAAUAGUUUCUGAAACGAUUUUUUAUUAUUUUAGUAACAAAAUCAAAAUAUUCAUAGAUUUGUUCCGUUUAGGCAUAAAUGCAUAAAUAGUCGCCACUGUUCCUAAAUUUACCCCUAAAUUUACGAAUGGACUCGUCCGCGACGAGUUUUUGUCUCUGCGCAUUUCUACCACCGUGGAUGAUCUGUCAUUUUGCAGACCCUACUGACCAGUGUGGCCAACUUUUUGAUUGCGCAUUACCGUAACGCGCAAUUCAAAAUUCCGUACCAAGCUUUAUGAAUACCGUACAUCUGAGGAAGCAGGGAAUUUUGAUAAAAAAAAAUUAAAUUCGAAUUCUAUAUUAAUAAAAAAAACAACAAAAAAUAAACUCCAGAAACAUAAACAAAAAAUAAAUUAAAAAAUAAAUAAAAAAAUUAUUCAUCAGUAUGUAAGGAACAUAAAAUGACCUCUUCUGCAUUAUUCAUCAGUCUCUAACGAAAAUAAAAAGUCCUCUUCUGCGUCAGAAUCUGCAUUUUCUAAAGCAGAAGCUGUGGCAGUACUUUGAAAACUAGAAUGAGAAGCGGAUUUUUUGCCAUACAACUCGGUGGUUGUCAUGCGGCUUAGCAUGUCGGAAUUAACUUUAAAAUCGAUGCAAUUACCUGACAUGCUAACGCACUGUUUGCUUAACAAAACACCAUUUAAUGUUUCUGUUAUGAGUCUAUUUCGACUUUUUGUCUUGAUUAGAUUAGUUUGUGAAAAGACUCGUUCGCAAGCUGCGUUAGAAUGCGGUAAACUUAAUAUAUUUAACACAAAUCUGGCUAAAUCUUUAAAUAUAAAAUUGUCAGUGUCAUCCGAAAAUUUUAGAAUUUUACCCCAAAAUAUAUCAACUUCAUCACUUACACUUAUAAGUGUAUUUUCGGGAAAUACAUAUUGGGGUAAAAGCCGCCACUGAUCAUCAAUAGACUGGCGAUCUUCAGUCUUAUGAAAUCUGUUUAGUGUUACAAGUAAGGGAAAUAAAGAUGGAUAUUUUUUUCGAACAUCAUAAGAAAGAGAAUUCUUAGGCGAAAAAAUAUAUAACUGAGACAAAAUAACGUCAUCAAAAUUAAAUCGUUUUUUUAUUUCCCUACACAAAACCUGAAAAAAUUUUUUACAUCGAUCAUAAAAAUCAUUCAAAGCUUCUUCAUUAUUGUUUAUUUCCGGUUUUUUAAUUUCGUUCAUCACGUCUACUCCAAGAUAUAAAUUUGAAUUUGGUAAUAAAUAAGAACCAUUUUCAGGAUUUAUUUCGCUUAAAGGUGUUGUUCGCACGUAACGAUUUUCCAUAUAAUACAAGAGGAGUUCCGUAUACUUUUCUCUAAUGGAACUGUGUAACACAAAAUUUAAAAAAACUAAAUAUAAUUUAACAAACGCAUCAUUUAAACAGUGAUAAAUUUGUUCGGAAGCCAAAAGUCGUUGGUCUAAAUAUUUUUCGUUAAAAAAUAAUUGAAGCGCUGCCCACUGUUCCAGCAGUCUUGAAACUACUUGUCCUAAGGACAACCAUCGAGUUUGGGAUGGAUGCAAAAGUUUGUGAACUUCAACCUCGACGAAAUGCUGAAAUUGCCUGUAUUCGAAUUGUCUUUUUGAACUUGACUAAAA